rnacentral:rRNA from 1 species
UGGGGAAUAUUGGACAAUGGGCGAAAGCCUGAUCCAGCCAUGCCGCGUGUGUGAAGAAGGUCUUCGGAUUGUAAAGCACUUUAAGUUGGGAGGAGGGGCAUUAACCUAAUACGUUAGUGUUUUGACGUUACCGACAGAAUAAGCACCGGCUAACUCUGUGCCAGCAGCCGCGGUAAUACAGAGGGUGCAAGCGUUAAUCGGAAUUACUGGGCGUAAAGCGCGCGUAGGUGGUUUGUUAAGUUGGAUGUGAAAGCCCCGGGCUCAACCUGGGAACUGCAUCCAAAACUGGCAAGCUAGAGUACGGUAGAGGGUGGUGGAAUUUCCUGUGUAGCGGUGAAAUGCGUAGAUAUAGGAAGGAACACCAGUGGCGAAGGCGACCACCUGGACUGAUACUGACACUGAGGUGCGAAAGCGUGGGGAGCAAACA